rnacentral:rRNA from 1 species
UACGUAGGGCGCAAGCGUUAUCCGGAAUUAUUGGGCGUAAAGAGCUCGUAGGCGGCUCAGUAAGUCAGGUGUGAAACCUCCAGGCUCAACCUGGAGACGCCACCUGAUACUGCUGUGGCUAGAGUCCGGUAGGGGAGCGUGGAAUUCCUGGUGUAGCGGUGAAAUGCGCAGAUAUCAGGAGGAACACCAGCGGCGAAGGCGGCGCUCUGGGCCGGAACUGACGCUGAGGAGCGAAAGCGUGGGUAGCAAACAGG